CUUAAAGGAGGCCUGGUGCCCAGCACAGCUGAGGAUAGCCCCAACCAGUCAGGGCUGGCUCUCCACAAAACUCUCCAGUAAGGAGGUGAGGGGAACGACUUAAUGAGCACCUCCUGGGCUGGUCUAGGAGACGUCCAGGAGCAGGAGCCCUGGGCAGGACCAGCUGCUGGGUUGUGAGAAGUAAGGAGCCUCAGGUGGAUGGAGGCAGUGGGAAGUAGGUAGGAAGGGAGAGGGCAAGGUCUUCCUCAUGGGGGAGGCAGCUCCCCUCCACCCCCAGGCACCCAGGCCUUGAAGCAAACGUUUACCUCCUGGGAGACACCUGGCGCACCAGAGACCCUGCUCAGAACCCUAGACCCACCCAGGUGCCCCUCCCGGCCUGCCAUACUCCUCAGGAAGCCCACAGUCUGCAGCCACAGGCCGCGUCUUGUCUGCCAAGUCUCCAGUCCUUCCAGCAGCACCCAUCUCACGUGGCCGGCGCCGGAAUCCGGAGGUGGUGGACGGAUUUCGUUGUAAGAGAAGCAAAGGCCCCGACACGCCUGGGACGCGGACGGCGGGGGAGCGAGACAGCCUCCUGGGUCGCAGGGUCCCCCUCCGGCGGUGCUUGGCGCCCUCCCCUGCGCUCAGCCCCGGCGCCGGGGCGCAGAAGGUGGCCCCCCAUCCUCUCGGAGCAGAGCCCAGGGCGCAGAGAGCUGGA